GUUUAGAAAUAGCAACUUCGGCUAAGAAAGGUGGCGACCUGCUCUUUAGGGCCACCCCUGAAGGAAGAGAGACUGUGAGUGCCUGGCUCCGCAAAUAGAGACAUAAGCUGCUCUCAGUGCAUGUUUUAAAGUCUUUUUAAAGGGCAGUUAACAUUUGGUCUCGUCAACUAGGGUUGCCGACGUUUCUAUGAAAUGCCAGUCAGUAAUUGCAGGCUCAGGUUUUCCUAUCGAAGAAGAGAAUCGCUGCAGCAGAGCCUUGAUAACAGAGAAGAGUACUUAUGAGAAAAAUCACUUCUUGACACAGCUGUCGUUUGUUUAAGGAAGUAAAGACCGUUUACUGAGCUUUCCCAUUAAAAAAGUCGAUUUGUGAAAAGCGCUUCUAUAGAACAGCGAUUGGUAAAAAUAAGUGCUUUGAUUCCAUCCAGGAUACAAUAUUAUAUGGAGUUGUCAUUUCUCCUUAGGCUCCUCUUGGCUGUGAUAGUUCCUCAGACUCUACUUGGUUUUGAUGACUUUGGCAAUUUUGAGGAAAACUGGUCAGGUACCAUGUGGGAUGCUCUUCUGUUGGAAUUUAUAUAUGCUUUUCUCAUGAUUAGACUGGGGUUAUGGGUUUUUGAGGGGAAGACCACAGAGGUAAAGUGUCAUUUUCAUCACAUUGUAACAAGUGUACAUACUACCAACAUAAUUUAUGAUUGUUUAUGUUGCAUUUGAUCAUUAAAGUCGUGUUUAUCAGGUU